rnacentral:tRNA from 1 species
GCGGAGAUUGCCAAGCCUGGUCAACGGCGCUGGACUUAGAAUCCAGUUCUUAGUGAUUCGAGGGUUCAAAUCCCCCUCUCCGCA